AGAUAGUUUAAAAUAAACUGCUCAGAACUCAAAACUUAACCUACAAAUAUUGAAUUUGAAUAUCAGUUUGUUUAAUACCCCUCUAACAUUCACAUAUUUGUUUAUAUUUACUUGAAUGUUUGAUAUAAUCAUGAUGUACAAAUAAAAGAGUAGAAAAAAGAAGUCGCACGAAUUUUGAACAAGGAACAAUAUUUUAUUUAUCAGAUAAGUUAAAACUUUAUAAUACCUUUUUAUUGAUUAUUAUUAUUGAACUGUAAUACUUUGUGUCAUUUUUAUUGGUAUUUUUUUUAGGAUUGUAAUAGGAUAUUCUAAAAGGUAAUAAGUAAUCAAAUUCAAUGACAUAAAUGCUGUAUGCAUUUUAUAAAUCAAAACGACAAUUAUUCAACAGCUGAUAAAUGUGUUCAUGCGCAACUAAGUAAUACAAAAAAAUAUAAUUUGCAUGGUGUUGUAACUACUGCGAGUCAAGUGGAUAAGUUGACCUUGUUAGUUGCUGGCAAUAGUGAAUAAAAUACUGUUGGAGAUUGUUGGAAAACUGAUCAGUGAUGCGUGUCUCAUGCACUAACUUUGGAUGAACUCUACAAAAAUUGUAUACGUUACUCAUGAUACUAGAAUUUUUGUCAAUGGAGAUAGACGUUAAUCUAUUUUAUAGUAUUGUUGGGAUCACUCAGAUGCGCCCUUCCCAGUGCUCGGAUAAUGACUGGAUCAAAUAAGAACAGGCUUUAUUUGGUUGACGAAUGAAGUAGAGAAGAUUUUUUAAGUGAAGGGAACAUUUGUAUAAUAAUUCUUUAUUAAUUUUCCUAUACUUAUGUCGAAGAAGUUAUAAUAAUAAGUGACAAUAGUUUUGGUUAUUUUUAUAAAUUGAGGAAAUGAUUUCAAAAGUGAAUAAUUUGAACAAACAUCUUGCUGUAACUAUAUACAAGUUAAUAUAACAAUUAAUUUAAAAUAAUGUAACAAUAUAUGAAUUAAAACAUUUUCUGAUUUUUUAUUUAAACAUUUAUUUGUGUACCAUUCUUUUCAUACGCACUGUAGCCUACUUAAGUGGACUAUAUUUUUUAGAUGAUGUUUUUUUUAUUUUCUCCUUACUCCAUCAUUUUUGUAGAUACAUAAUAUAUAUAUCUUUACAUAUAUUUUAUUAUAUACAUAUAUCUUUUCCAUCGGUAGACAUCAUUUUAGAAAAGGUGCAUCAGGUAUUAUUAUUUUAUUGAUUUUUUAUUUUAAAAAACUGAUCUUACACAAAUCAUAUAUGUAUCGUACGUAAAUUUUAACUGGAUUAUUUUUAGAUUUAAUAGUCUUUUUUGUCUGCCUGUGUUUCUUAAAAUGAGUAUAUAUGAAUUAAAAAUUAUAAUAUAAUUCUGCACACAUUACACAUUACUUAGCUAUCAAUAAAUAUGUAUACUAGUCUUCUCCGUCUGUCUGUGUUUUUUAAAAUAAGUAGAUAAUGAAGUUGUUUAAUUUACACUACAGUUGUAAUCUAUUUGAAUUUGGCGCUCCCCUAGCAGAUGGCGCGCGUGCAACCUUUGUUUGCCGGAUCGCGGAUAAUCAGCUAAUACAUACAGGUAUAUAUAUAGUCGAAUCUGGUGGAUAUACCUGAACGUAAAACUAAAAUCGGCAUGUUAUUUUAAUGGUGCCUAUCGCUAGGUGCGGAUCUCUUUGUUUCCAGAAUCCUCCUCAACAAAAAAUCGUGAGAAAACUCCUGUGCAUGUGUGAAGAAGGAUAUUUCUUAGUAUCAAAGAAUACUUUGGAUCGAAAUAAACGGAAGAUAUCAUUUGAGAGAAAGGUUUGGAUCGCCAUCAAGUCUCUACCAUAAUCAUUUUGGUAACUACGUGCAUCCCAAACUUGGCAGCUUCGCGCGCCCCUAAGUUGGCAGCUUCGUGCGCCUCUGAUUUGGCAGCUUCGUGCGCCUCUAAGUUGGCAGCUUCGUGCGCCCCUACGGUGGCAGCUUCGUGCGCCCCUAAGUUGGCAGCUUCGUGCGCCCCUACAUUGGCAGCUUCGUGCGCCCCUAUACGUUGGCAGCUUCGUGUGCCCAUUUUUAGUUUUGUAUGUUCUAAAAUUUUAAUAAAUUUCUGUGUUUUUUAUUAUUUGAAAUGGAAAAACAAAAAAAAAUAUUUGUUCUUGAAAAUGAUGAAAUGUCAAGAAUUCUUGAUGGAUCUCGGUUACAGGAUACACAUAUUGAUAAAUUUCAUAGCAUGCUGUCUAAUGAGACUAUUUUGAACCACGUUCUACGUUGUAUCUUACAAAUGUAAUGCUUGAUCCUAAUUCGAGCCGUAUAAAACCUAUAUCACGAAACGUUCUCCAUGUCCAAAUAUUACAUAGCUGUGAUGAUUUGUGUAAUAAAUGUAUUAAUGGUCA
rnacentral:lncRNA from 1 species